rnacentral:rRNA from 1 species
UAGGGAAUCUUCCGCAAUGGACGCAAGUCUGACGGAGCAACGCCGCGUGAGUGAAGAAGGAUUUCGGUUCGUAAAACUCUGUUGUUAGAGAAGAACAGCGCAUAGAGUAACUGUUAUGCGUGUGACGGUAUCUAACCAGAAAGCCACGGCUAACUACGUGCCAGCAGCCGCGGUAAUACGUAGGUGGCAAGCGUUGUCCGGAUUUAUUGGGCGUAAAGCGAGCGCAGGCGGUCAAUUAAGUCUGAUGUGAAAGCCCCCGGCUCAACCGAGGAGGGUAGUUGGAAACUGGUUGGCUUGAGUGCAGAAGAGGGGGGUGGAAUUCCAUGUGUGGCGGUGAAAUGCGGAUAUAUAUGGAGGAACACCAGUGGCGAAGGCGACUCUCUGGUAUGUAACUGACGAUGAGGCUCAAAAGCGUGGGUAGCAAACAGG